GAAAAAGGCCAAUACUGUAGGGGCUAUAGACUAUUCCGAUCGGCAGGGGGAGCCCCAAUAGCCCUGAGGGGGAGCGCCAUGGUUGAAUCUGUCGGCCCCUCAGGGGCGACUCCUCGCUAGCUCCUUGUUCCUGUGGAGGGACCCCCUCCUCUGGCCCGGCCUGAGGCAGGGGUCCUGAGAGAGCUGAAGGUUGGGGCUGGGGAGCAUAUGGUGGGGGUUGAGGGGUGUCGGGCCACUCAGGGGGUUCUUCAAUCUCUGGAGAGAUCCUGGGAGGUUUCGUCACUGGUGUGCUGCGAUCAUCAUCUCCCCCUAGCGGUGGUUUCGGUUUCUCUUUCUCACCAUUUUCUCGAUGGCUAGGAUCUUGGUGCAAGGGCGGAGAGGCUGGAGGAAUGGGCAAACCCACAGGGGUGGGUAGCGUGCCAAGUCCUCCCAUACCGUGAUGUACGGUUGCUGGUCUGGAUGCAACCCUGGCCCUUCCUGAAAAACAAUGGUCUUCACAGCCCUUCUGGUGGCAGCACAGGGCCAUCCCUGCUGGCCUGAAGAUUGUGUUGAGUGUCCUGUGCUUUGGCAAGGAACAGUCUUCCAAGUGAACCCUGUGUAUUGGGAGAAGCUUGGCUCCUGGCUCUCCUGCACACAUUGUAUUGAGGAGAUUCUCCGCCCCAGGCCCAAGCGUCCAGCUGGAACUGAUGUCUGACAGAGUAACAAAGGAAAAGCACGCAGACUUUAUUUACACGUUCUUAAGUAACCUCACAAGAAAAAUAAGGACCAAGAAAAGCAGUUCUCAACCU